rnacentral:rRNA from 1 species
AGGCCCUUCGGGGUACUCGAGCGGCGAACGGGUGAGUAACACGUGAGCAACCUGCCCCUGACUCUGGGAUAAGCCCGGGAAACUGGGUCUAAUACCGGAUACGACCGCCCCCGGCAUCGGGUGGUGGUGGAAAGUUUUUCGGUUGGGGAUGGGCUCGCGGCCUAUCAGCUUGUUGGUGGGGUAGUGGCCUACCAAGGCGACGACGGGUAGCCGGCCUGAGAGGGCGACCGGCCACACUGGGACUGAGACACGGCCCAGACUCCUACGGGAGGCAGCAGUGGGGAAUAUUGCGCAAUGGGCGGAAGCCUGACGCAGCGACGCCGCGUGGGGGAUGACGGCCUUCGGGUUGUAAACCUCUUUCAGCAGGGACGAAGUUGACGUGUACCUGCAGAAGAAGCGCCGGCUAACUACGUGCCAGCAGCCGCGGUAAUACGUAGGGCGCAAGCGUUGUCCGGAAUUAUUGGGCGUAAAGAGCUCGUAGGUGGCUGGUCGCGUCUGCCGUGAAAGCCCGCAGCUUAACUGCGGGUCUGCGGUGGAUACGGGCCGGCUAGAGGUAGGUAGGGGCAAGUGGAAUUCCUGGUGUAGCGGUGAAAUGCGCAGAUAUCAGGAGGAACACCGGUGGCGAAGGCGGCUUGCUGGGCCUUACCUGACGCUGAGGAGCGAAAGCGUGGGGAGCGAACAGGAUUAGAUACCCUGGUAG